UACGAAGGGGGCUAGCGUUGCUCGGAAUCACUGGGCGUAAAGCGCACGUAGGCGGAUUGCUAAGUCAGGGGUGAAAUCCUGGAGCUCAACUCCAGAACUGCCCUUGAUACUGGCGGUCUCGAGUCCGGGAGAGGUGAGUGGAACUGCGAGUGUAGAGGUGAAAUUCGUAGAUAUUCGCAAGAACACCAGUGGCGAAGGCGGCUCACUGGCCCGGUACUGACGCUGAGGUGCGAAAGCGUGGGGAGCAAACAGG
rnacentral:rRNA from 2 species